AUGACUGAGAGCUGCUGCUCAGCAACUUCACCAACAACAGCCAUGACUUUGAUCAGCAUCUUCAUCUGCACACUGGCCCUCUGGACUCAAGGAUCCAGAGGUCAGGAGACUGUGACUCAGACUCCUUCAGUGCAAACUGUUACUCCAGGAAACACAGUCACCAUCAACUGUAGAACCAAUCUCAGAGUGUAUGAAGGUAAUAUUCUACACUGGUACCUGCAGAAACCUGGAGAACCUCCUCAACUCCUGAUUAAUAAGGCGAAAACCUUAUAUUCAGGAAUUCCAGCUCGUUUCAGAGGCAGUGGAUCUGACACUGACUUCACUCUGACCAUCAGUGGAGUCCAGACUGAAGAUGCUGGAGAUUAUUACUGUCUUAGUGACUUUCAGAUCAGUGGUAUCUCAGUGUUCACACAGUGUUAG